UACGUAGGGGGCAAGCGUUGUCCGGAAUCAUUGGGCGUAAAGCGCGUGUAGGCGGUCCGGUAAGUCCGCUGUGAAAGUCGGGGGCUCAACCCUCGGAUGCCGGUGGAUACUGUCGGGCUUGAGUACGGAAGAGGCGAGUGGAAUUCCUGGUGUAGCGGUGAAAUGCGCAGAUAUCAGGAGGAACACCAAGUGCGAAGGCAGCUCGCUGGGACGUUACUGACGCUGAGACGCGAAAGCGUGGGGAGCAAACAGG
rnacentral:rRNA from 1 species